CCCGCGCCUCCGCCUCGCCGGGGCUCUCCAGCGCGGAAAAGACUGUGGCACCCGCCACCAGGUAGAGGCCGAUGAGCGCCGCCAGCAGCACGAAGCGGCCGGUGUCCUCGUUGAGGCACUGUUCUGGAAGCUGGGAAGGCAGCAGAAUGGUGAAUGGUGAGUCAGCCAUGUUGCUUCACCACUAUGAGGACUUUGGCUUUUAACCUGAAUAGGAUGCAGACCCUACUCCAAACACACAACCCGUGACACAGAGCUGGGCACGUGUGGGCUCUCACUAGCGCUGGCUGAACUGCCUGCACCGGCAGGGCAUCUGGCCUCCUUCAGCAGAGAGGGCCCAGCAGGCAGGACUCGGACUGCCUCCACUACUCCAGCUGAAUUCCAGCACCCGCUCAGCCAUCUCCAGGUGCUGCUCCUGAGAGCUUUACCCAACAAACCUCUUGGGGAGUCUGUUCCAAGUCAACUGAUCUAAGAUACAGUCAAG